rnacentral:misc_RNA from 1 species
AUCAAUUUGUUUCCAUGAACUCGUUCAAGUUCGGCAAAGAAGAGGUUGGAAGGAGCUUGGCUACGUGCAAUUUGGGCUUAUGCUGUACCUCAUUUUUGCUGUUCCUACUACACUGUUAAGCUACAAAUAAUUGCCCGGCUUAGGGACCAAUAAUUUUUGUUGAUCCCUCCAUUUUACCACUAGUCCUCCCUCAUUAAUUGUCCGAUAAAAGGGAAGGGACAAAAAGUGAAAAAGAAAAAAAACUGAU